GAUUUGGCGGGGCCUUUGUCUCUUGCUGCAGCCGGUGCUCCAAGUCUAGUCUUCACUGCUCUGCGUUCUCUGCUGUUAAAGGCUCGCCGCUGUGACCCUGUUACCUGCAAGAACUUGGAGGUUCACAGCUAAGACUCCAGGACCCCCUGGAAGCCUAGAAAUGGGACCGCUGACAUUUAGGGAUGUGAAAAUAGAAUUCUCUCUAGAGGAAUGGCAAUGCCUGGACACUGCGCAGCGGAAUUUAUAUAGAGAUGUGAUGUUAGAGAACUACAGAAACCUGGUCUUCCUUGGUGAGGAUAAUUUCAAUACACAAUACUCUAAAAGUUUCAUUUCUCCUCUUUGUAAAAUGUUUUUUGGUAAUUUAUGCUUUGCAUAAAUGAGUUUCAGAUCCCAGUUUUCAAGAAAACAGAUUUGUCAGUGUAGAAAAGAACUUCUUCAAGAUGUUUCAUUUUGACCUGAACUCACCACAUUCCUGAGCUGAUCUAUAUCCUUCACUCUAAAUUAGUGGUAAUUCCAGAAAUUUAUUGGCAUAAAAUAUUGUUGCUACCACCAAUUUUUCAUUUAGUAGUACUG
rnacentral:sRNA from 1 species